UACGUAGGGGGCUAGCGUUGUCCGGAAUCAUUGGGCGUAAAGAGCGUGUAGGCGGCCAGGUAGGUCUGCUGUGAAAACUCGAGGCUCAACCUCGAGACGUCGGCGGAAACCAUCUGGCUAGAGUCCGGAAGAGGAGAGUGGAAUUCCCUGGUGUAGCGGUGAAAUGCGCAGAUAUCAGGAAGAACACCCGUGGCGAAGGCGGCUCUCUGGGACGGUACUGACGCUGAGACGCGAAAGCGUGGGGAGCGAACAGG
rnacentral:rRNA from 1 species